ACGACGCUGGCGGCGUGCCUAAUACAUGCAAGUUGAACGCAACAAAGACACCAGAGCUUGCUCUACCGUCUUUGUUGAGUAGCGAACGGGUGAGUAACGCGUGGGUAACCUGCCUUAUAGCGGGGGAUAACUAUUGGAAACGAUAGCUAAUACCGCAUAACAAUAGAGAUUGCAUAAUCUUUAUUUGAAAGUGCCAACUGGUACACUAUGAGAUGGACCCGCGUUGUAUUAGCUAGUUGGUAGUGUAAUGGACUACCAAGGCGAUGAUACAUAGCCGACCUGAGAGGGUGAUCGGCCACAUUGGGACUGAGACACGGCCCAAACUCCUACGGGAGGCAGCAGUAGGGAAUCUUCGGCAAUGGACGAAAGUCUGACCGAGCAACGCCGCGUGAGUGAAGAAGGUUUUCGGAUCGUAAAACUCUGUUGUUAGAGAAGAAUGUUGAUUAGAGUGGAAAAUUAAUCAAGUGACGGUAUCUAACCAGAAAGGGACGGCUAACUACGUG
rnacentral:rRNA from 1 species